rnacentral:rRNA from 1 species
AGUAACGCGUGAGGAACCUGCCUCAAAGAGGGGGACAACAGUUGGAGACGACUGCUAAUACCGCAUAAGCCCACGGCUCGGCAUCGAGCAGAGGGAAAAGGAGUGAUCCGCUUUGAGAUGGCCUCGCGUCCGAUUAGCUAGUUGGUGAGGUAACGGCCCACCAAGGCAACGAUCGGUAGCCGGACUGAGAGGUUGAACGGCCACAUUGGGACUGAGACACGGCCCAG